rnacentral:piRNA from 2 species
UGGUUGAAUUCGACUUUGGGGCCUUGCUGA